rnacentral:rRNA from 1 species
UACGGAGGGUGCAAACGUUGCUCGGAAUCAUUGGGCGUAAAGCGCACGUAGGCGGUCUGUCGCGUCUGCUGUGAAAACUCAGGGCUUAACCCUGAGCUUGCAGUGGGUACGGGCAGACUAGAGUGCGGUAGGGGAGACUGGAAUUCCUGGUGUAGCGGUGAAAUGCGCAGAUAUCAGGAGGAACACCGGUGGCGAAGGCGGGUCUCUGGGCCGUAACUGACGCUGAGGAGCGAAAGCGUGGGGAGCAAACAGG